CCUAGGGGGGCAGCAGUAGGGAAUCUUCGGCAAUGGACGAAAGUCUGACCGAGCAACGCCGCGUGCGUGAAGAAGGUUUUCGGAUCGUAAAACUCUGUUGGUAGAGAAGAACGUUGGUGAGAGUGGAAAGCUCAUCAAGUGACGGUAACUACCCAGAAAGGGACGGCUAACUACGUGCCAGCAGCAGCGGUAAUACGUAGGUCCCGAGCGUUGUCCGGAUUUAUUGGGCGUAAAGCGAGAGCAGGUGGAUUAUUAAGUAUGGUGUAAAAGGCAGUGGCUCAACCAUUGUAUGAAUUGGAAUCUGG
rnacentral:rRNA from 1 species